CCGAGUCUUAACCGGGCGUUAAGUUGCAGGGUAUAGACCCGAAACCCGGUGAUCUAGCCAUGGGCAGGUUGAAGGUUGGGUAACACUAACUGGAGGACCGAACCGACUAAUGUUGAAAAAUUAGCGGAUGACCUGUGGCUGGGGGUGAAAGGCCAAUCAAACCGGGAGAUAGCUGGUUCUCCCCGAAAGCUAUUUAGGUAGCGCCUCGUGAAUUCAUCUCCGGGGGUAGAGC
rnacentral:rRNA from 1 species